rnacentral:lncRNA from 1 species
UAGUACACUGAUGUAGUUUGAAAAUUAAAAACUAAUCUCAAUGGUACUAUCUCAACACACCUUAUUGCUAUUUGUCCGCCAUUACUGGAUAUCACACGGGUUCCCGUAAAAUUUUGACGUCAUGAAACAAAAUAUCUGACGCCACAAUGGAAAAGUGAUUGUUAUAUGCGUCAAAAGUUCAAGCGGCCAGGUCAGCUGGGAUUAGCGAUAAGGUGUAAGAAAAAAAUCAUUUUUUAACAACUUUUUUAUAUUAUGACGCAUCUAUAUUAUUGUAUAAUAUUUGUUACUUAUUGUAUUUUUCUCGUGUUAUAUGAUAUUGAACAUUUUUGGCUGUGAUGUUUUUAUUUAUUCUCAAUAUAUUCUCCACUGAGAUUGUUUAAUUUCUUAAAUGUGAAACUUGUCCUGUUGAAUGUCUUGAAAACAUGAUAUUUGCAAUCUUGAUUUACCUGUGAUCCUUUUUCAGAUUUUCUAAAAAAAUAUCAUUGAUAGUUCUUUCAAAGCAAAAAAAUAUUAUUUUCCUAUAAAACAUGAGUACUUUAAUCUUAAUAUAAAUAUGAGUUAUUUCCCUUUGAGUGCAAUAGCCCUGUUUCUCUUAAAUAAUUGAUUAUAAAUUCAAAUUAUUCCUGAUGGAAUUAGUAUGUUAUAUGUUAUAUUUGGUUUUCAUAAAACCAACCUGGUUUUUUUAGGCAGGAAUGUAUGUUAAGCAUAAAAGAUAAUUCAUACUGUAUAAUAUACAUGUACUACCAUUUUUAACUAUGUAUUGUAAUGUUGUUAAGAUAUUGUUAUUUAAUUUGUAAAUAUGUCUUAUAAUAAUGAAAACAUAUACAUCAAAUGAUAAAUUUAUGUGAAAAGUAUAUGCUAUCGAGUAUUGACAUAUAUGAGCUGUGUUGGAUAAAAAUGACCCUUAUGUCAAAAAAUAUCUGCUAUUAUCAAUGCAUCCAUUAACUUAUUUCAGGUUGAACAAAUCUUUAUGCCAAGUAUGUCACUAUUUAGAAAUUGAAUUGAUAUAUUAUCAUUGUCGGAUCCAGGGGGUGGGUUCCGGGGAUUGAAACCCCCCUUUUUUUUGGCCGAUCAAUGCAUUUGAAUGGGAGCAUUUAGCUGGAACCCCCCUUUACUCUGGGUUGGGAACCCCCCCCCCCCCCCCCCUUUUAAAAUGACUGGAUCCGCCCCUGCUCAAUACUAAACGAAAUUCAUCUUUUGUAUGGUAUUUGAAUGUUCCUAAACCAAUCAAAAUCUUAUACAUGUACAUGUAAACAUGCACUUGUAUAAUAUCAACUUCUAUAUGACACAGGUCACAUGUUUAGUGAGGGGCUUUUAGUGAGUGGACAAAGUAGUCUAACUAAUGUAUCACUAGCUUGUCACACUGAGGUGGUCAGUUGUAAUGUCACAUGUUUAGUGAGGGGCUUUUAGUGAGGGGUCAAAGUAGUCUAACUACUGUAUCACUAGCUUGUCACACUGAGGUUGUCAUUUCUAAUGUCACAUGUAACUAAUGUAUCACUAGCCUGUCACACUGAGGUUGUCAGUUCCAAUGUCACAUGUGGCAGCUGAGAUCAACUUAAUUCUUUAAAUAAUUGACAAGGAUUGUCAAGGUCAACAGUUUUUACCUUACAAUUUGGCUUCCUACACUAAUAAAAAAUGCCCACCUAAAAAUUGCACAUGUGCUUAAAAAGGCAUUAAACACCACAAUCAAUGAAUGGUAAAAUGCAUAAGUGGGGAUCAAUUUUAAUCUUUUCAUUAUGUCGAUGGAAAGAGAGUGUUAAAUUGUAUUCAGCAAAUUACUGUGGAUUCAUUAUUAUUUGCUGGAUACCAAUUAUCGUGGGUACAGGUGAAACACAAAUUUAAUGUCAAGGAAAUACAAAUUUCUAUAAAAGUUGAUCAAGACUUUGGAAGAACCCUGAAAUUGCAUAUCCACGAAAAUGCAAGAUUUCCACAAUCCACAGAAAUUGGUACCCACAAAAAUAAAUGAAUCCAUAGAAUUUUGUUUUGUGCAAAGCAAUAAAGAUACAGAAAAAUGGGUAUGAGACAUGUAGAAAAAGAAUAUAGCCUUAGAACCAACAUAAUACAAAGUGGAAUUUUAUGUUGUUAUUUUGUAAAGGAGUAGGUCCGGUAAGACCCCUUUUUGUCCCCAAAAUAUAGCAGUUUUACAAAAUUGUUAAAAUGUAAACUUUUAAAUAUACAGGGGACAGUAGAAUGCUUCUGCUACAUAAAUAUUGGUUGUUUUUGGCAAUACAAUGCACAUAUAUAUCGAGUACUAGCACCAUUAAGUCACGCUAAAUUACUGAAAUCUUCACAAUUCUAUCA